rnacentral:rRNA from 1 species
UACGUAGGGGGCAAGCGUUGUCCGGAAUUACUGGGCGUAAAGCGUGCGCAGGCGGUUCGUUGUGUCUGUGGUGAAAGCCCCGGGCUUAACCUGGGAAUGGCCAUGGAAACUGGCGAGCUGGAGUGUGGCAGAGGGGGGUGGAAUUCCGCGUGUAGCAGUGAAAUGCGUAGAGAUGCGGAGGAACACCGAUGGCGAAGGCAGCCCCCUGGGUUGACACUGACGCUCAGGCACGAAAGCGUGGGGAGCAAACAGG